rnacentral:lncRNA from 1 species
CCGGCGGCAUUUUGAGGCGGUCCUCCUAGCGGCCUGCAGUGAUAACGAUUUAGGUCCUGGGAAUUGAGUGCUACUUUAUCUUCACAAGCCUUAGUACAAAAUGUCAAAAAUUAGAAGGAAGGUCACAGUGGAAAAUACCAAGACUAUAUCUGAUAGCACAUCCCGAAGACCCAGUGUAUUUGAGAGGCUUGGACCCAGCACUGGCAGUACAGCAGAGACACAGUGCCGUAACUGGCUGAAGACUGGCAACUGCCUCUAUGGAAACACAUGUAGAUUCGUACAUGGCCCUUCACCUCGUGGUAAAGGUUAUAGCAGCAAUUAUAGAAGGUCACCAGAAAGACCUACAGGGGAUCUUAGAGAAAGAAUGAAGAACAAGCGCCAAGACGUGGACACUGAGCCCCAGAAACGAAAUACAGAGGAGUCAUCCUCACCUGUUAGGAAAGAAUCUUCAAGAGGGAGACAUAGGGAAAAGGAAGACAUAAAAAUCACUAAGGAAAGAACUCCAGAAAGUGAAGAAGAAAAUGUAGAAUGGGAAACUAAUAGAGAUGAUUCUGACAAUGGAGAUAUUAAUUAUGAUUAUGUUCAUGAAUUGUCAUUGGAAAUGAAGCGUCAGAAGAUACAGAGGGAAUUAAUGAAGCUGGAACAAGAAAACAUGGAG